rnacentral:rRNA from 1 species
CGGGGAUAGCCUUUCGAAAGAAAGAUUAAUACCCGAUGGUAUAAUUAGACCGCAUGGUCUUGUUAUUAAAGAAUUUCGGUUAUCGAUGGGGAUGCGUUCCAUUAGGCAGUUGGUGAGGUAACGGCUCACCAAACCUUCGAUGGAUAGGGGUUCUGAGAGGAAGGUCCCCCACAUUGGAACUGAGACACGGUCCAAACUCCUACGGGAGGCAGCAGUGAGGAAUAUUGGUCAAUGGGCGCAGGCCUGAACCAGCCAAGUAGCGUGAAGGAUGACUGCCCUAUGGGUUGUAAACUUCUUUUAUAUGGGAAUAAAGUUUUCCACGUGUGGAAUUUUGUAUGUACCAUAUGAAUAAGGAUCGGCUAACUCCGUGCCAGCAGCCGCGGUAAUACGGAGGAUCCGAGCGUUAUCCGGAUUUAUUGGGUUUAAAGGGAGCGUAGGUGGACANGUUAAGUCAGUUGUGAAAGUUUGCGGCUCAACCGUAAAAUUGCAGUUGAUACUGGCUGUCUUGAGUACAGUAGAGGUGGGCGGAAUUCGUGGUGUAGCGGUGAAAUGCUUAGAUAUCACGAAGAACUCCGAUUGCGAAGGCAGCUCACUGGACUGCAACUGACACUGAUGCUCGAAAGUGUGGGUAUCAAACAGGAUUAGAUACCCUGGUAGUCCACACAGUAAACGAUGAAUACUCGCUGUUUGCGAUAUACAGUAAGCGGCCAAGCGAAAGCAUUAAGUAUUCCACCUGGGGAGUACGCCGGCAACGGUGAAACUCAAAGGAAUUGACGGGGGCCCGCACAAGCGGAGGAACAUGUGGUUUAAUUCGAUGAUACGCGAGGAACCUUACCCGGGCUUAAAUUGCAUUUGAAUAUAUUGGAAACAGUAUAGCCGUAAGACAAAUGUGAAGGUGCUGCAUGGUUGUCGUCAGCUCGUGCCGUGAGGUGUCGGCUUAAGUGCCAUAACGAGCGCAACCCUUAUCUUUAGUUACUAACAGGUCAUGCUGAGGACUCUAGAGAGACUGCCGUCGUAAGAUGUGAGGAAGGUGGGGAUGACGUCAAAUC